AUGGUUGCUUCCGCUGCUGCUCGGUCCGGCCGCCGCCGUCGGGGCCGCCCUCCUGGUAUUCAAGCCGCUGUUAUUUCCCGUGUCCGCCGUGCUGCCGGCCGUCUUUCCUCGCCGGAUUUUCCGUCAGCGACGGCAGAUGCUGGUGCGCGUGGCCGGCCGGCUGAUUCAGGCUGCCAUGUCCGGUCCGGGGCUCGCCGACCGUUUCGUUCUUCCCGAACUGGUGUGCACCGGUUAGAUUCGUGGCGAGAUGUUAAUGUGGACGUUGAUACUCGCCGUCGGGAGAUUUCAUUAGGGAAGCGGCCUGUGGAUUGUACCAUUGAUCGAGUAUUUGUGUUUCUGGUUUUCCUGCUGGUGUUCAUCUUUAUGGCUCUUUGGUUGGUGAUACGACUUUCCGUUGCCGUCCAAGAGUGGUCCUUUAUGUGCCACCGGUACUUUUGGUCGGCCUACUCCUCUUGUGAUGCCUACUCCUGUUAUGGAGCACUCUCGUGUUGUGUAAGAAUGUUGCACUAG
rnacentral:rRNA from 1 species